AUUGAACGCUGGCGGCAGGCCUAACACAUGCAAGUCGAGCGGCAGCGGGAAAGUAGCUUGCUACUUUUGCCGGCGAGCGGCGGACGGGUGAGUAAUGCCUGGGAAAUUACCCAGUCGAGGGGGAUAACAGUUGGAAACGACUGCUAAUACCGCAUACGCCCUACGGGGGAAAGCAGGGGACCUUCGGGCCUUGCGCGAUUGGAUAUGCCCAGGUGGGAUUAGCUAGUUGGUGAGGUAAUGGCUCACCAAGGCAACGAUCCCUAGCUGGUCUGAGAGGAUGAUCAGCCACACUGGAACUGAGACACGGUCCAGACUCCUACGGGAGGCAGCAGUGGGGAAUAUUGCACAAUGGGGGAAACCCUGAUGCAGCCAUGCCGCGUGUGUGAAGAAGGCCUUCGGGUUGUAAAGCACUUUCAGCGAGGAGGAAAGGUUGAUGCCUAAUACGUAUCAACUGUGACGUUACUCGCAGAAGAAGCACCGGCUAACUCCGUGCCAGCAGCCGCGGUAAAAC
rnacentral:rRNA from 1 species